CUGAGCUAGCUCUUAAUCUUGUUGCAUUAGAGAGAAGCUUAAAGUCAAGAUCACA
rfam:Cotton leafroll dwarf virus isolate ARG, complete sequence.